ACUAAAAAUAUUUCUGAGAUAUUACAGCUCUCCCUCACAACCCCUAUUUGAAAAACAUGGUUUCUAUAUCCUUUAUUCUAGGCUGUUUGUGUAAAUGUGCCUUACCUGUCUAACUGUCAAAUUUAUUAAAACUAAACUGUCAAUGUCAACCUGACAUAACCUUAACCUGUUUGGCUGUUUUUUUUUCCGCACUAAUCAAAACAAAAGCAUGCGUCGUUGUGUUCAACAACAUCGAUCGCACGAAGAAAUCUAAAGUUUACUCGAUUAAACUUACGAAACUCUAAAAUAAUGAGUGAAUCUUACAGGACCAAACAUAACAAUGCAAACCCAACUACACUCUUUGUUGAACUAAAACCCAUGAUAAACCACUGAUCAACCAUCCACUGUGACAAAACAUUCACAAUCCCUCACUACUUAUAGACCAAAGUUACUAUUCUUCAAUAAGAUAUGACAUACUUUUUGAAUGCUGAUGAUGAUGAUGAUGUCCUUUAUUUGACAACCAAACUCUGAGAUUAUAUACUAUGAAGUAAACAUCCUGAAUCAGAUGAAGAAGUGUAUUGCAACCGCGCUCAAAAUAGGAACAACUAAACUACCCACAUAGUUCUUAACUUACAAACAAUAUAUUGAUACUAAAUGAGGUCCUAGCCUACUACACCUGGUCUAACACUUAAUCAACAACAGUAACUUGCUACACAUUAAUUGUUUUCUAAAUUUAUUGUUAUG